GACGAACGCUGGCGGCGUGCUUAACACAUGCAAGUCGAGCGGUAAGGCCCUUUCGGGGUACGACGAGCGGCGAACGGGUGAGUAACACGUGGGUGACCUGCCCUCAGCUCUGGGAUAAGCCUGGGAAACUGGGUCUAAUACCGGAUAUGACUCCAUGACGCAUGUUGUGGGGUGGAAAGCCUUGUGCGGCUGAGGAUGGGCCCGCGGCCUAUCAGCUUGUUGGUGGGGUGAGGCCUACCAAGGCGACGACGGGUAGCCGGCCUGAGAGGGCGACCGGCCACACUGGGACGUGAGACACGGCCCAGACUCCUACGGGAGGCAGCAGUGGGGAAUCUUGCGCAAUGGGCGAAAGCCUGACGCAGCGACGCCGCGUGAGGGAUGACGGCC
rnacentral:rRNA from 1 species